rnacentral:rRNA from 1 species
UGAUCAUGGCUCAGAUUGAACGCUGGCGGCAGGCCUAACACAUGCAAGUCGAGCGGUAGCGGGAAGAGCUUGCUCUUUGCCGACGAGCGGCGGACGGGUGCGUAACACGUAGGAAUCUGCCCGGUAGUGGGGGAUAGCCCGGAGAAAUCCGGAUUAAUACCGCAUACGCCCUAAGGGGGAAAGCAGGGGAUCUUCGGACCUUGCGCUAUCGGAUGAGCCUGCGUCGGAUUAGCUUGUUGGUGGGGUAAAGGCCUACCAAGGCGACGAUCCGUAGCUGGUCUGAGAGGAUGAUCAGCCACACUGGGACUGAGACACGGCCCAGACUCCUACGGGAGGCAGCAG